rnacentral:rRNA from 1 species
CCAAUGGAGAGUUUGAUCCUGGCUCAGGAUGAACGCUGGCGGUAUGCUUAACACAUGCAAGUCGAACGGACUCUUCGGAGUUAGUGGCGGACGGGUGAGUAACGCGUGAGAAUCUGCCUACAGAUUGGGGACAACAUCGGGAAACUGAUGCUAAUACCGAAUGUGCCGAGAGGUAAAAGAUUUAUCGUCUGUAGAUGAGCUCGCGUCUGAUUAGCUAGUUGGGGAGGUAAUGGCUCACCAAGGCAACGAUCAGUAACUGGUCUGAGAGGAUGACCAGUCACACUGGGACUGAGACACGGCCCAGACUCCUACGGGAGGCAGCAGUGGGGAAUUUUCCGCAAUGGGCGCAAGCCUGACGGAGCAAUACCGCGUGCGGGAGGAAGCUUUUUGGAGUGUAAACCGCUUUUCUCAAGGAAGAUGAUGACGGUACUUGAGGAAUCAGCAUCGGCUAACUUCGUGCCAGCAGCCGCGGUAAUACGAGGGAUGCAAGCGUUAUCCGGAAUUAUUGGGCGUAAAGCGUUCGUAGGUGGCUAAUUAAGUCUGUUGUUAAAACGUGGAGCUUAACUCCAUAUCGGCAAUGGAAACUGGUUGGCUAGAGUAUGGUAGGGGUAACAGGAAUUCCAAGUGUAGCGGUGAAAUGCGUAGAUAUUUGGAAGAACACCAGCGGCGAAAGCGUGUUACUGGGCCAUUACUGACACUGAGGGACGAAAGCUAGGGGAGCGAAAGGGAUUAGAUACCCCUGUAGUCCUAGCCGUAAACGAUGAGAACUAGGUGUUGCGCGUAUCGACCCGCGCGGUGCCGUAGCCAACGCGUUAAGUUCUCCGCCUGGGGAGUACGCACGCAAGUGUGAAACUCAAAGGAAUUGACGGGGGCCCGCACAAGCGGUGGAGUAUGUGGUUUAAUUCGAUGCAACGCGAAGAACCUUACCAGGGUUUGACAUCCUCGGAACUUUCUGGAAACAGAUUGGUGCCUUCGGGAACCGAGAGACAGGUGGUGCAUGGCUGUCGUCAGCUCGUGUCGUGAGAUGUUGGGUUAAGUCCCGCAACGAGCGCAACCCACGUUUUUAGUUGCCAUCAUUCAGUUGGGCACUCUAGAGAGACUGCCGGUGACAAACCGGAGGAAGGUGUGGAUGACGUCAAGUCAGCAUGCCCCUUACAUCCUGGGCUACACACGUACUACAAUGCUACGGACAAAGGGCAGCGAGCCAGCAAUGGUCGGCAAAUCCCAUAAACCGUAGCUCAGUUCAGAUUGCAGGCUGCAACUCGCCUGCAUGAAGGCGGAAUCGCUAGUAAUCGCAGGUCAGCAUACUGCGGUGAAUACGUUCCCGGGCCUUGUACACACCGCCCGUCACACCAUGGAAGUUGGUCACGCCCGAAAUGGUUACCCUAACCGCAAGGAGGGGGACCCCUAAGGCAGGGCUGAUGACUGGGGUGAAGUCGUAACAAGGUAGCCGUACCGGAAGGUGUGGCUGGAUCACCUCCUUU